rnacentral:rRNA from 1 species
CCUACGGGGGGCAGCAGUGGGGAAUAUUGGACAAUGGGGGCAACCCUGAUCCAGCAAUGCCGCGUGUGUGAAGAAGGCCUGCGGGUUGUAAAGCACUUUCAGUAGGGAAGAAAAGCUCGGGGCUAAUACCUCCGGGUCUUGACGUUACCUAAAGAAGAAGCACCGGCUAACUCCGUGCCAGCAGCCGCGGUAAUACGGAGGGUGCGAGCGUUAGUCGGAAUUACGUAGCGGAAUGCGCACGUAGGAUGUUAAAGCCCUCGGCUUAACCUGGGAACGGCAUUCGAUACUGCCCGGCUAGAGUAUAGGAGAGGGAAGCGGAAUUUCCGGUGUAGCGGUGAAAUGCGUAGAGAUCGGAAGGAACACCAAUGGCGAAGGCAGCUUCCUGGCCCAAUACUGACGCUGAGGUGCGAAAGCGUGGGGAUCAAACAGGAUUAGAUACCCUUGUAGUC